GCCAACCAAAGAAGAUGAAACCCCAGAACCAAAAGAGAAGUUCUGAUUUCUUAUCUUCACCCCGUCGUCUGUUUUUCCCCCUCCGGAAACUUAACUACCCGAGGAGACUCUAACUAAGAAGAAGAAAUGACGAUAUUGAACAAACCUAAGAGGAGAUCGAAGAAGAAGAAGAUAUCAAAUUAAAAUGAUCUGUAAUUGCUGUGGUUCUUGUGACAUUAAAGGUAAGGGACCUGAAAGAGAAAAAUAUGAAGAAAAAAUAAAGGGGUUGCAUCUAAAACGUGUUGCUUUUCGCACGAUGUGGCUAGCUGCUGAAGAUUAUCCAUUGUUGCUUGGAUCAGCAGACUUAGGUUUUUGCUUGCAUACUUCCUCAUCUGGGUUGGAUCUUCCGAUGAAGGUCGUUCUCUGAGGGUUGGAUCUUCCGAUGAAAGUAAUUCUCUGAGUUAGUGCAAGAACCCGAGACAUAAAACCAAGUUAGAAACCCCAGCCAAAUAAAUUAAUAACUGGAUUUCGAAAUGGAAUUCACUUUCAUGGAUAUGCCUUUUAACUCUCUGGGUCCAGGUCGUGGAUAUGUUCGGCAGUGGACUUCCAGUAUGUGUGGGUUUCGUUCUCAUGAGCUUGUAAAGGAUGGGGAAAAUGGUCUUCUCAUCUGAUCUUGCUGACGAACUCCUGACCCAAUUCAGUGGGGCCAAUUAAAGUGGUUACAGUAUGCUUUCUGGUGGUAGGCUUUUGUUUUGGUGUUUCCGACCCGAAGUCCCAAUUCAAGUGCUACAAACUGUUUCUGGACACAGUGUAAGGCUCAAUUUUAAUACACUACCUAGAAUCCCAGAUGCCUUACUAAUAGUGCCUCUAAUGUGUUCUCAUUCUUGACUAUUGACGAGUCCCAAGUUACGACUUCAAAUCAGUUAAACGUUUGGGAACAUAUACCUAAUUUGUCUGACUAGUGUGCUUGGGUUGAAGGAAUCCGCCAUGUCAUUGUGUUUUCAGACAGUGGAACUGACACCUCCAAAUGUUUUAACUCGGGUCUCCGCAUUCUAAAACCGCUCUGAGACAGUUUCAAGGUUGAGCACAGACAUGUUUUGAUGACUAUGUGAUCUGAGUUUUUUUUAUUAUUGUUUGGAUUUCUCUUCCCUUGUUCCUUUGCUUCCCUUGUGGUCUGAAAGCUAAGAGUAUGUUAUUCUGUUUGCUUAGACAAUAAUUGUUGCUAUCUGUUUGUUGCUUAAGAAACCCCCUUGGCCCUUGUUGCUUUUCCUUGACCUUUGGUUAGAAAUAGGUAUCUAGGCGAGCUUGCAAAAGUUAUGAAUGAGAUUUCACUAUUCGGAGAUCCCUCUGUGUUAUUCUCUUUAAAGGUGAUGUCUGUUUUAUUCUCUUUAAAGGUGAUGUGGUCACACCCAGUAGAUCAUAACUAUUUUAUAUUUGAACUAACAUCAACAAGGCUAUUUUAUUUCCAUCUAAAAGCUUCCGUAUACUUUAAUAUGUUUCGAAUUUGCCCUUUUCCUUCAGACAAUUUAAUGGUUAUUUGAUUAAAGUCCGCUUUGAUUGUUCAUCUAUGCAGUUGAUUAAGUUCAUUCUUUGCUUGUUGAGGUUCUGUAAAAAUGAUUUUUACAGGUGAAAAAUUGAAAUAAAGCAUUACCCAUUAUAUAGGUUAAGGAUUAUACCUAUGUGGGUGAAUGAUUGAGCUGAAAGAACACGUAAUAAUAUAAAAAAAUAUUCAAUUCCGGACUUUAGGAUAGGUUCUUAUCUGUUAUCUUUUAAAUCCCCGUAGUUGUGUCCAGCAAUCCUUGUGCCUUUCUAGAGGUGCUCAACAAACUAGCGUAGAUAUGAGAGACUUAUGUAUAGCCUGCUUUUUUAGUCCGAGACUUAAAGAUGUAUCACAUAGAGAUUCUCGGUUUGUUAGUUCUCAUAGAAGUUUUUCAAACAAUGAAUUCCCAGCAGUCGUUUCAUAAGAGAAUCACUGGACCUGUUGUAAAAUUAGGUUGCAAGAGAUAAAAUAACCCAAGUUUUUCAUUGCAAGAGUAGGCCUGAUAAGAAGUGGCAUAUUGUUUUAGAAUCUCCAAACAAGAAGGUGCUAAUGUGAAUGCUUUUGAGGAUCCUUUCGUUUUUACUGCAUUGCUAAAGAAUCUCUCAUAACGGCAGCAAACUUAGAUGAUAAAAGUAAUUUAGAAGAAGGUGCAUUUGAAGAUUUAGGCGAGGCAGAAGCAUCCCAAGAGUUUCUUUGAGAAUUUCAACACCUGUAAGGGUCCAACAAAAGCUAAUUCAGCAAUCUCAAGAUAAAAUUUAUCAGUACUGGUUUCUGAGUGGUUUUUUUUAACAUAAGCUAACAUAAUGUACUUGUUGAAUAUUCACUUUGGGUAUCAGUUGGGUUUAAUCCUUUAUAUUCAGAUAUUCAAUUAUGGUAAAAGUAUUCGGUUGCAAUUAAAUUGAGUUUAAUCCUCUUUA